AGAGCGGCGGACGGGUGAGUAACGCGUGGGUAACCUGCCUCAUACACAUGGAUAACAUACCGAAAGGUAUGCUAAUACAAGAUGAUAUAAGAGAUUCGCAUGGAUUUCUUAUCAAAGCUCCGGCGGUAUGAGAUGGACCCGCGUCUGAUUAGCUAGUUGGUAAGGUAACGGCUUACCAAGGCGACGAUCAGUAGCCGACCUGAGAGGGUGAUCGGCCACAUUGGAACUGAGACACGGUCCAA
rnacentral:rRNA from 1 species